GAAAAGUAUGGUAAGAUACGGUAAGGAAAAAGAAAAAGGAGUAUGAAAUAGCUAGAUGAAAGAAUUUCAUUCUUGAAACCUGUAUUGGUUAGAGGUGAUCCCUUGCAGUGUACUAGCUUUAAUCAGGAAUCUGGGUUCAUUUUUUCAAGUUCAGCAACUGGUUAGAGAUUAGUUAAGUGGUUCUAUGCUGCUUUGCAAAUUAACAAGCAUUAUUUGUUCAGUCAACAAACAUACAUCACAUGCCUACUAUGUGUUAGGCACUACUACUGUCUAGGCACUGAGGAUAUAGUGGCCACUUUUUUUACCCCGAGAGAUAUGCUCUCCACUCACUUUCCUGGGGUUCCCCCCCCAACCCAGAGUUAGAGCUACAUGGCAGUAUGCUUAUUAGUAUUUAAGAAAAUCACCUGGUUUUCUUUUUACUUUUAACAGGUCACACAUUUUCAUGGUUCAAAAUUCAAAAGGUAAAGGUGGUUAGCAUACAGUGAAGUGUACUUCCCACUCCAAUUCCAGAGUCACUCAGUUUUCCUCCCUGGAGAAACAGUAUCA